GUGUGGUUUUGUGUGUGCAUGUGUGUGUUGUAUGUGGUGUGUUGUGUGUAAGUGUGUAUGUCACACAUAUAUUAAAAUCUUAGCCUGGUGCUGUUUGUGAUUACCCAGCCCCAGUACUUCAUGGAAGCAGCCCACAUGGACGAAGGGGCCCUUCCAGUGCUGCAGUCUUGAGCUAAGAGUUCACGUAUUCCGAGACAAUGUGCUUGGGACGUGGGACUUCUUCCCCCGCACUCCUCCUGUCCUCCGCCUCCUCUGUGAGCUGCGGUCUCCCCGCACGCCUGACGCAGGGCUGGUUUUGCUCUGCACCUGCACAGACCGGAGAUGCCCUUGGCGACGUCGUCUGCUCCUCCGGUGCUUCCAAACGCGGCUGCCUGGGUCAGCUGCGUGCCUGUCUCUGUAGAUUUGGAGGGGUCUCCCCCUGGGCUGGCUUUGCACAAGAACAAACAAGAGCUGUCCAAACUGCCAAGACAUCGACUUUCCUUUUCUUGAGAGGAAGCUCAAAUUCAAGGUGCAGAAUAAACUUAUUUCCAGCAGGUGGUCCUAAAUGGGAACUCUUGCACGGAUCUCAGAAAAUGACAGUCCCUAAAAUAAGUCCAUUUGUUUAUCCAAAAUCACCUUUGAGGCACAGCUUGACUAUGACCUCGGCCUUCGACUGAGCACGGUGAGUGAGGGCCUUCUGAAUAAGAAGGGCACCGCCACACCCUGCAAGGCCGACGAGCAAGUCAGUUCCUUUAGCACAGAAUCUCUGUUGCUGGUGGCUUCCCAAAAACGUCAGAGGACUUUGGAGUUGGAGAGGAACCAGGAGGGCUUCUAGUUCACAUUGCUCACUUCUCAGACGCAGAGCUCAGCUCACCGAGGCCAGGGCGGCAUCACCAUCAGAACUCUGCCCCUUUGACCCCAGACAGGUGGUCCUAAGUUUAUUACAAGCUCCGUUUAUUACAGCUUCUGGGAACCAGUCAUCUGAAGCAGAAGGUAAUGUUUCCUGCUCUGGUGAAAUGAAGAAGAGUUGAAGAAACUGUGUGCAGAAAUGUUGAAGCGUAGCUCCAUUCAGCUCUGUCUUAAAUAGAGCUUGGCAGCAGCAGUCAGGCCUUGAGCGGCGUUAGGGGCUGAAUUGCAUCCACCCCAAACUCACAUGUUAAAGUCCUAACCUCAGUACCUCCGAAUGUGACUCUGUUUGGAGGUAGACUCUUUGAAGAAGUGAAUAAAUGAGAGUCACUAGUGUGAGUCCUAAUUCAAUCCGACUGCGUCCUUAUCGAAAGAGGAGAUGAGGACACAGACACGCACAGAGGGUCGGCCACGUGAGGACACGGAGAAGAUACCAUCUGCAAGCCGAGGAGAAAGGCCUCCUGGGGCACCAACCCUGCCAAUGCCCUGAUCUCAAACUUCCAGCCUCCACAACUGUUAGAAAAUAAAUGUCUGUCAUUUUAAGCCAGCCGGUCUGUGGUAUCUUGUUAUGGAAGCCCUAAUGAAUUAAUACAAGGAACAAGGCAGUCAGAAGUGGCAUUUGACUUCAAUUAGAAGUCGUACAAAUACUGCAGGCUCCAAGCCCAGGGUCCAGGGUGGAGGCUGCGUGCACUUGGGAAGUGCUAACUAAAUGCCUGGUCACUGCGGUUCGGUCCACACAUGGGGCGGUGGCUGCAGAGACCGCUGUUGUUCUUAGCAACACCCUCACGUGCCUAAG
ensembl:lncRNA